GCGUCGGUACUCAAGCGGUCAACGAGGAUGCGCUGUAGACGCAUUGGCCUUUGGCCUACGCAGGUUCGAAUCCUGCCCGGCGCA
rnacentral:tRNA from 1 species